rnacentral:sRNA from 1 species
AUGGCGAGUAAUGAUGAAACGUCAUUGGAAGAUCUUAUCAGUCAGAUAAAUUCAGAAAAUCAUUACAGGGUUAUUCCAAAGGAAGAAUAUCAAAUGUUACUGAAGUGUAAAGCUGAUAGUGUCAAACAAACUCCUUCUUGUAAUCCCAGGUUACCAUUUGCUUCUGCAGAUGAGGGUGCUAGGCCGAAGUUUAGUCCAAGGACUCCUUUCAGGGUAGACAACGAUAUUACCCAAGAGGCAGUGGAAACUACUCACAGCAACAUAGGAGGCAAUUCCAACAGCAGAAUCAGUCGCACAAUCAGCAGACUAAAAGUGGUAACUCUGGUCAGGUUGGAGGCCACAAUUUAA